AAAAAAAAAAAAACAACUAAAAAAGAAAAUCCAGACCCCAUGAAGAAAUUCAAAUUACGAUCCACAGAGGAUCAGAUCCUCUCCACCUUAUCAGCUUUAACAACAGGGUUCGCCUUUGCGAUCGCAUUUCGGCCAGCGCCCUUGAAAUCAAAUGAGCAGUCAUGAUUCUCUGGGUACCGAUGAGACCCACAGAAGGUGCUCCCGCACUUGCACUUAAAUCCAGCCAAGCCAACCUUCUUAUUGCAGCUAAAGCACCUAUUCGCCGCUUUGGGCUGAGCCUGAUCACCACCAGCCACCGAAGGCUCAGAUGAUGAAGAAGAUAAUUCAGAGACCGCCACAGGCUCAGAAAGAUUAGGAACCACCACUGGCAUCGCCACAUCAUGGGUAUCAGCGAUAACAUCCUCUUUUUU
rnacentral:misc_RNA from 1 species